rnacentral:lncRNA from 1 species
UAGAAGUUUCCGAUCCCUUAGUUUUCCUUAAACAAAUUUCUGGUUGUGCGAGUUUUGGCUCACACAAUUUGGCGCCGUCUGUGGGGAGAUUGAAACUUUCUUACUCUAAAUCGACAAGACUUUAAGAUCCGAAGAACAUGGCGAGCAACACCCUCGACGAUAACAACAACAACAACAACAACGAUAACGGCGCGGAAAAGGACGCUCCAGCAUCAGGCACAACGACGACGACGACCGAAAUCCAAGAGGAGAUGCGAAACAUGAUGACUGCGUUGAUGAAGAAGAUCGACGAGCAGGACAAAAGAAACAAGGCGAUUACAGAGAGGCUCGACGCGAUGACAGCCGAGCGACGACACCCAACUUGGAGAGCCG